rnacentral:sRNA from 1 species
GAGACGAUCGGUUGCGAAAAUCAGCGGC